UCAAAGCAACCAUCAUCUUCUAAAAACAUUAAAACGGAGAAGCUGUCAUACCUGCCACAAAAGCCUGAAGAGUAACCUGUUGUUAAGGUCAGUUGGAAAACCAGCUGGCCAGAACACAACCUAUCUGUUGUAUACCUACAGAUUCUGAGCUGGAAGGGGCAGUUGGGCAAUGAUUAGAUUAGGUGAGCUCAUUGCUUCUAUCAGAUGAAAUUGCCUUUUUCAAAGGAUUACAGCAAAAAGUUGCAUUUGUGACUUAUGUGAGGACUUUAAUCAAAUUAAUAACUCAUUUGGGAUUGGAACAUAUGCUUUAAUACUAGACUGAAAUUUCCUGAACCAAAAUUGAAGGAGUUGUAGCAGUUUCUGAAGAGCUAAUACAUUUGCUUAGCCAGUGCAGAUUUUUUAAACUUUUAAGUAUGGGAGUAGCAUACUAAGAUAAAUAGCCGUACAAGUAUCUGUAAUCUACUUCCUAAAUAUAGUUUUAUUUACUAAUGAUCAUUCAGAACUUUCCUGUCGAGGAAAGAGCUGCUAGCAAUAGUAGAACGAGAACUGGAAGGACUUAGGUAUCAUCUGGGUGGAAAAGAGUAAGAGAAGUUACAGGUAACUCGCAUAGGUGCUUUUGCCACAAUAUCACGGAAAUUAAAGAGGAGAUCAGGGCAGCAUGGGUGGUUCAACGAUAAUAGCGCCACCUUCAGCCCAGGGUGUGACCCUGGAGCCCCGGGAUCGAGUCCCACGUCAGGCUACCUGCAUGGAGCCUGCUUCUCUCUCUGCCUCUCUCUCUCUCUCGUGUCCCUCCUGAAUAAACAAAUAAAAUCUUAAAAAAAAAUAAAAAUAAAAAUAAUUUUAACAAAAUAAAGAUGAGACUGUCUCUUCAUAAGAGGAGUGUACUUAUUCACUAGGACCGUAAGCUAGCUGGCAUUAUUCCCACUGGGAAGAGCUUCAGCAUUUGGCAGAGGGUGGGAAUUGAGACCUGAUAUUUCCUGGCCUAGAUAUCUAACCUUUUCCUGGAAGCUUGUUCUUCUGUGUGCCAUCUUAGCGCAUUUCACCACUCCAGCCUCAAGUUUCUAACAUCUUGUAGUUGUGUUCUGUCUCUUCUCUCUCUGUUCUUCCCUGUUUUUCCCCUCUCACAGGCUGUGCGAAGUUUAACUGUGCAUCUGAGCAGGUGACAUUCAAACCUGGUGGCAGGAGGACCCGAUUUCUGAGUACGCCCUGCUUGGCUCUUUGGAAGAUGGUGAAAAAAGUCUGUCCUUGCAACCAGCUCUGUAUGUGCCCUCCAGCAGAGCCGAAAUCAGGCAGGACACAGACCCCUUCUUCCUUUCUCAUCAAACCAUAGAAAUAGAAUUCCUUCAUCAUAACCUCAAAGCUUCCUCCUUCCUUUUGCUCUCCUACCUCAGCUGAAUGUUCCUGUUGCUUCCACAUGCAAGUGCUUGCUCUUUGGGGGGUGAGGGAUGUGUUAGUGAGAAUCCACGAACCAGUUGAAACUGAGGUCAUCUUCAGGAAAACCAUGUCUUCCUGGAGUUGAGUGAUUCAGGCAUACGACAGAGAACCUUGCUCAGGAAUAAUCUUGGUUCUUAACUCAUAGGCAAUUGGGAGAGGUUGAAGCUUCCAUUCCUCCCAAGUUUAUGUUUAUAAAUUUGUGUAUAUGGGUCCAGGUGAAAAAGGUUUUGAACAGAGCAUGCUCUCUCUCCUGUCACCUCUUUCUGUUAAAGAAUGGCUAAAGACUGUGGCACAAUAUCCACAUGGUUUCAGAACCCCAUCUUUUCUGGGCCAAGCAUCUACCUUUGUAUCCCUUUAACACUCCUACUUUUAAUCCUGCCUCGGGGCUCUAGAAAUCCUCUUUUACCCUGCAUUCUGCAGCAGUCUAGAGCCUCAAUAACCUUAACGCACCUCCUUCAUCAACGUGAUGCUGGGAAUAGGGUACUGAAAGUAAGUUUCAGUACUCUGAUACCAUGUGAAUGGGCUGAAAGAGGUCCCUCCACUUUGUGCCCUACCAUUAUCCGGAGUUAUUUAGCGUCAUCCGUAGCUCCUAAAGAGAAUCUGUUUUCAUUACCCUGCCCUGCCCAAACAUGGCUAAACAAACCUAUGGGACCUUCCCUUCUUGCAUGCCUUCUCAGCUUAUCCUCUCCUCAUUCAGUGGCUUGCCAUUUGUCAUCCUGUGAAGUUUUCCCUCUUCCUGAAGUUCUAACUCAAACUCCUUUUAAUGGUUGUAUUCUGUUGCUUC